rfam:Homo sapiens chromosome 9, GRCh38 reference primary assembly.
AUACAAGUUAGGCCUUUUGGCUAAGAUCAAGUGUAGUAUCUGUUCUUAUCAGUUUAAAUACUAGUUAACACAUUGGUUUCAGUUUGGCUGUGGGGUCCUUCACUGAACAAUUCUGAUGAAGUCAAAUGAACAAUUCCUUACAUUUUGUUUGUGCUUUUGGUAACUUGCUUAAGAGUUCUUUCCCAUACCAGUGUCAUAACCUAUAGUUUCUUCUGUAGCUUUAUAGUUUUGCUAUUCA